ACACACACACACACAUAUAUAUAUAUAUAUUCAAAUAUAGUAGAAAUGAAAAGGAGAUGUUUGUCCCAAGAUAAAAUUUGGACACGCUUGUCCUCCAUUAGCCUGCGUCAGCUAGUCGCGUCCACCCGUUUUAGUUCAAAAUCUUUCAUUCUAACCAUUGUGAACCUUUUCUUCUUCCACUUUUUCCUUUUCUGUUUUCUCUUUCUCUUUUAUUUAUUUUUCAGAAAAACAAGAUUAAAGUAUCUAUGUACCGUCCAUAUCGAUCGAGACAGAUAUCCAUUAGCAGCUCGAAAAAAGUAAAGAAAUCGUCGGACGAAAUAUUUUGAAGAAAAAAUUACCAGAGAAUCGUCGUGGUCUCGACGUGUGUUUAGCGGGAGCCAUAAAAUUUAUCUAGAUUUUCUGAAAUCUUUUGAAUUUGAUCGAUCAUUCUCGAAGAAACUAAGGCGAGCCGGUCCAAUGAUAACAGAUAAUCGAACAGAAAAGAAAAAGAAAAAGAAGAAGAAGAGAAAUAAAAAGAAAAAGAAAAAGAAAACAUACCGUGAAUACUGGUCUGCUUGGAAUAAGGACUGGAUCGUUUUUUCGGGUUUUGCUCGUGGAAUUUCCAUCGGCAAUCAUUUUCUUUAUUUUCGGAGCAUGGAUCUACGCCCCAUCGCCUAGUGAAACUCUUUCUUUCGUUGUCGAGAGCCUCCUGAAGCAUAUCGGCGGUUUCCCGUGAAUUCGGUGAUCCAAAUAAGCAACGUGAGACACGAGAUGAGGCGGCAGCAGCAGCAGCAGCAGCAGCAGCAGCAGCGGCGGCGGCGUUCAUCGUCUUAUUACUUUGUGAAAUAGGAGAAGAAGAAGAAGAAGAAGAAGAAGAAGAA